AUUGAACGCUGGCGGCAUGCUUUACACAUGCAAGUCGAACGAUACAGUGGCAGACGGGUGAGUAACGCGUGGGAACGUACCUUUCACUACGGAGUAGCUCCGGGAAACUGGUGGUAAUACCGUAUACGCCCUCAGGGGGAAAGAUUUAUCGGUGAAAGAUCGGCCCGCGUUGGAUUAGCUAGUUGGUGAGGUAAUGGCUCACAAAGGCGACGAUCCAUAGCUGGUCUGAGAGGAUGAUCAGCCACAUUGGGACUGAGACACGGCCCAAACUCCUGCGGGAGACAGCAGUGGGGAAUCUUGCACAAUGGGCGAAAGCCUGAUGCAGCCAUGCCGCGUGAAUGAUGAAGGCCUUAGGGUUGUAAAAUUCUUUCGUCAGGGAUGAUAAUGGCCGUACCUGAAGAAGAAGCCCCGGCUAACUUCGUGCCAGCCGCCGCAGUAAAAC
rnacentral:rRNA from 1 species